CUAGCGACUUCAGAGUUUGAUCCUGGCUACGAGGAUGAACGCUGGCGGCGUGCAUAACACAUUCAAGUCGAACGGAGUUACUGGAGAGCUUGCUCAAAGGUAACUUAGUGGCGGACGGGUGAGUAACGCGUGAGCAACCUGCCUUGGCAUGGGGGGAUAACGUUUGGAAACGAACGCUAAUACCGCAUAUCGCAUAGACCUCGCAUGGGGAUUAUGCAAAAGAUUUAUUGUGCUAAGAUGGGCUCGCGUCCCAUUAGAUAGUUGGUGAGGUAACGGCCCACCAAGUCGACGAUGGGUAGCCGAACUGAGAGGUUGAACGGCCACAUUGGAACUGAGAUACGGUCCAG
rnacentral:rRNA from 1 species